rnacentral:rRNA from 1 species
UCAUGCAAGUCGAGCGGACAGAUGGGAGCUUGCUCCCUGAUGUUAGCGGCGGACGGGUGAGUAACACGUGGGUAACCUGCCUGUAAGACUGGGAUAACUCCGGGAAACCGGGGCUAAUACCGGAUGGUUGUCUGAACCGCAUGGUUCAGACAUAAAAGGUGGCUUCGGCUACCACUUACAGAUGGACCCGCGGCGCAUUAGCUAGUUGGUGAGGUAACGGCUCACCAAGGCGACGAUGCGUAGCCGACCUGAGAGGGUGAUCGGCCACACUGGGACUGAGACACGGCCCAGACUCCUACGGGAGGCAGCAGUAGGGAAUCUUCCGCAAUGGACGAAAGUCUGACGGAGCAACGCCGCGUGAGUGAUGAAGGUUUUCGGAUCGUAAAGCUCUGUUGUUAGGGAAGAACAAGUGCCGUUCAAAUAGGGCGGCACCUUGACGGUACCUAACCAGAAAGCCACGGCUAACUACGUGCCAGCAGCCGCGGUAAUACGUAGGUGGCAAGCGUUGUCCGGAAUUAUUGGGCGUAAAGGGCUCGCAGGCGGUUUCUUAAGUCUGAUGUGAAAGCCCCCGGCUCAACCGGGGAGGGUCAUUGAAAACUGGUGAACUUGAGUGCAGAAGAGGAGAGUGGAAUUCCACGUGUAGCGGUGAAAUGCGUAGAGAUGUGGAGGAACACCAGUGGCGAAGGCGACUCUCUGGUCUGUAACUGACGCUGACGAGCUAAAGCUGGUGGACGAACAGGAUUGGAUACCCUGUUAGUCCACGCCGUACAGCAUGAGUGCUGCGUGUUAUGGG